rnacentral:piRNA from 1 species
AAAGUACGGCGAGGUUGAGGAGAUGAAUGU